rnacentral:lncRNA from 1 species
GCCAGUCCGUCCGUCCGUUCGACCGUCGGUCCCCCUUACACAUGUUUGUGUCUGUGUGAAACUAUCGAAACUAAUGUUACUUAAGUUGCCAAUGUGGCGGGGAAAGAUCUUACAGUCCCCGUUGAAAACAUCAGACCCAGAUACAGCAACAGCAAUAGCAACAGCUACAGAUACAUCUACAGAUGCAGACAUACAGAUAUUGAUGUACAGAUGCAGAUACAGACAUACUACAGCCAUACAGCCCACGAUCGUGACGGAGGCAAAGGCGAAGACGAUGCGGAUCGUGGAUCGUGGAUCGGGGAAUCGGGGAACGGCGGUGGCAACUACAGAACGGAGCAAAGCGUAAGGCAAUGUUAACGAGUGAAAAAUUCAAGAAAAUUUUAGUUCUAAAAAUAACUCUUGUACUCAUUUUCGUUUCAAAACGGAAAGCGGCCGACAUUUCACAGCAUGGGAAUAUAACAAGAAGCGACCAAAAAGCCAAUAGCUAUAAAACGCAAAGAUACUAAGAUACUCUGCACUCUGCACAAUGGCCCCAGAUACAGAUACAGAAACAG